UGUACUUAUUGAAGACAAAGAAUUUGUUGAUUCAUGUAUGGGAGGAAAGCCUUGGAAGGCAGGAAAAUUUUCUUCGAGUCUUCGCCUUACGCUAUGGUCUGAACACCUUCGUCUUCCAGCUGGAGAGGUUCUAAACCUUGAUGACCUUCAUCUGUUAGUAUUGAAAGCUUGUGAAAAUCAAAUCCAUUGGUGCAAGUGCAUGAUAUAAGUCUUCAUGAACCAUUUCCGUCCAACAAUGAAAUUAGGGUAAUGAUCAAAACAUGACAGGCAGUGGUUUUUCCAUAAAGAUUGCUUUCCAGAAUGUGUGGAAGGAAAUGUCUCAAAUCCCGUAAUAAUAGAUCGAUAUGAUUGCGACUAGCAGGUUCCAAUCAAAACCAGUCAUUCAUCAAAAGGUCAUACCUACUUUAGACAAAAUGAAUGAAUGAACCAGCUAUUGGAUCUUCUAGUUAAACCUAUCCGUUGAGGUCUGUUAUGGUAAAGAUUGAGGAAAAUAAAGAAAUAUGAAAAAUAGAAUCAAUACGAUAAGAUGGAAAAUGUGAAUUUCAUGCAAUGGUGAAUUUAGAGUGGAGCCGGGCUCCGGCUUGAAAGCAACAAGCAAUGGAUUAAGCAACUUGCGCGAAACUUGAGUUCUCAAUAAGGGGCGGUGUUUUUGUAUGUCAAUUAACAUACAAAAUUUACCAAUUAAGACUAUAUUUUUGUUUGUUGGGUAUUUUUAUUCACUUUAUGUUUUGCAAUUAUUGUUUUCCAGUCCUAUGAGGAACCAUGGUGUCCAUUGAUAACCCAACUCAUUAGUCUUUGUGCUUUCAAUCAUCCCCAGAUGUUGUCAA